AUCCUUUUCCAAUCUAUAUGCAUGAUGAUUGGGUGUUCCCACAUUUCUGUGACGUGUGCCUCCCUUAAACUUGUUACGCACUUGAACAUUACACAUCUUCUGUGAAA